rnacentral:rRNA from 1 species
AAAUCGUACCCCAAACCGACACAGGUGGUCAGGUAGAGAAUACCAAGGCGCUUGAGAGAACUCGGGUGAAGGAACUAGGCAAAAUGGUGCCGUAACUUCGGGAGAAGGCACGCUGAUAUGUAGGUGAAGCCCCUGCGGGUGGAGCUGAAAUCAGUCGAAGAUACCAGCUGGCUGCAACUGUUUAUUAAAAACACAGCACUGUGCAAACACGAAAGUGGACGUAUACGGUGUGACGCCUGCCCGGUGCCGGAAGGUUAAUUGAUGGGGUUAGCGGUAACGCGAAGCUCUUGAUCGAAGCCCCGGUAAACGGCGGCCGUAACUAUAACGGUCCUAAGGUAGCGAAAUUCCUUGUCGGGUAAGUUCCGACCUGCACGAAUGGCGUAAUGAUGGCCAGGCUGUCUCCACCCGAGACUCAGUGAAAUUGAACUCGCUGUGAAGAUGCAGUGUACCCGCGGCAAGACGGAAAGACCCCGUGAACCUUUACUAUAGCUUGACACUGAACACUGGUCCUUGAUGUGUAGGAUAGGUGGGAGGCUUUGAAGCGUGGACGCCAGUCUGCGUGGAGCCAACCUUGAAAUACCACCCUUUAAUGGCUGGUGUUCUAACGUAGACCCGUAAUCCGGGUUGCGGACAGUGUCUGGUGGGUAGUUUGACUGGGGCGGUCUCCUCCCAAAGAGUAACGGAGGAGCACGAAGGUUAGCUAAUCCUGGUCGGACAUCAGGAGGUUAGUGCAAUGGCAUAAGCUAGCUUGACUGCGAGAGUGACGGCUCGAGCAGGUGCGAAAGCAGGUCAUAGUGAUCCGGUGGUUCUGAAUGGAAGGGCCAUCGCUCAACGGAUAAAAGGUACUCCGGGGAUAACAGGCUGAUACCGCCCAAGAGUUCAUAUCGACGGCGGUGUUUGGCACCUCGAUGUCGGCUCAUCACAUCCUGGGGCUGAAGUAGGUCCCAAGGGUAUGGCUGUUCGCCAUUUAAAGUGGUACGCGAGCUGGGUUUAGAACGUCGUGAGACAGUUCGGUCCCUAUCUGCCGUGGGCGCUGGAGAAUUGAGGGGGGCUGCUCCUAGUACGAGAGGACCGGAGUGGACGCAUCACUGGUGUUCGGGUUGUCAUGCCAAUGGCACUGCCCGGUAGCUAAAUGCGGAAGAGAUAAGUGCUGAAAGCAUCUAAGCACGAAACUUGCCCCGAGAUGAGUUCUCCCUGAGACUUUAAGUCUCCUGAAGGAACGUUGAAGACUACGACGUUGAUAGGUCGGGUGUGUAAGCGCAGCGAUGCGUUGAGCUAACCGAUACUAAUGAACCGUGAGGCUUAACCUU